rnacentral:lncRNA from 1 species
UGAUUUUACAUAAUAUGAUUGUUUAAAGGUGGUGUUGUUUGUGAGCCAAACACAAAUUUUAACACCUGAUAGAACUCAAUGUAAGGAAAUUAGAGAUACACAACCAAUUUUCUGAACCACACUGAUUUUGCGACCCAAGCCCUGAUGCUAACAUGCAAGUAUUUGACAUGGAGAAAAAACAUUGAUUAAUAUCCACUUUCAUUUUAUCCUCCUUGUAUUAGUUGGGAAACAAUGAAUCAUAUGAUCCGAUGCUUCGAUGGACUCCUUUCGGGAAGUAUGAACAUGGAUCACAUCCUCUGUCCUGCCAAAUUAUCUUUCUCAGAACCUACUUAAGCCUGUUGGAACCCAUGUACAAAAUGAUCUACUACUAAAAUUAUCUGCAUAAACACAAAUUAUCUGUAGAUGGAAAUCAAAUAUCAUAAUGGAAGAAAACAAUCUCAGUUCAAUGCGGUGAACAUAUAUCCACCAAAAGAUGACUAAAACAGGGAGCAAUCAGAUAUAGCCCUUAAUUCUAAAUUCAGUUGAUGUGUUUCUCUGAAAUUUAAAGAACAAAGCAUCACGAAGAACAAAGGAUUUUCAUUUUACUCACAAAGCUGCCAUAAAUAAUUAGUGCUCCUAGAAACAACCUACUCCAUUCAUUUGUAUUGGUUGAAGAACAUUUUUUUCCUUUUGUCUAAAUUAGUAAAAACCACAAGAUGAGUUGGAACUGAACGCAGAGAAGACAAAUUAAAGUGUGUUUGUCAAAUCGUAUUGUGAAGUCACAUACUUAAUUCCAAUCCGAAGCUGGACAGUAGCAAUCCAAAACUGCAGCAGACAUGGUAUUGUCCUAUAUCUGACAAAUGCAGCAUCUUGCCUUAUGUGAUGACCCGUAGAAUUUUGGCACACAUGGCUUACUACUAUAUACAUAUAUAAGAAGAAUACAGUGAUAGUCUAUAUAUAUCGACAAAAGGAAAGUACACAAGAAAAUUGACAUGUACCUUUGCAUCGGCCAAAGCAAGAUGUAUAUGUGCUCUCGACUAUCAUAGUAUCAUCAAGUGGGUGGUAUUCCCAUAUCCCAUGUUAUCAAGACAUGAAGACAAACUGGAGCUUGCUUUGCUUGGUAAUGUAGAAUUGGAAGGAAAUGAAGUGACAUCUUGAAAAUCUACAGAGCAAUAAUUUGCAUUGGUAAUUGGCAUACAGGAAUAGGUAACCAGGCAGGCAUUAGUCAAUGGUAUUAACAAGAAUAUAGUGGCAACAAUAAAUAAAUCUAUUCUUGCAUAAAAUAAUCAAAGAAAGAAAUAUUAAAUAUUUAAUUUUCUAUCAUUAUCAUUGUCGUUGUGGACAGAUAGGCAAUUCCCCUAGAACAUGGAAGCAAAGAGAGGAAAAAAUACCAAAAAAACAUUGUGAAUAACCUAUACACAUGACUACCCCUAAUUAGGACAAAGAUAAGGUGCAGGAAAAUAUAAUCUAUUGAUGUAAAACAGGGAAGCAUCACUGCUUAUGAAGCAACAUAAAAAAGAGAAAUCAGCAGCAAAAGAAAAACUUCUUAAUCCAUAAAUGGGAGUAACCAACGCUCACAAAACAUUAUCGACUAUACCCUUCAGCUACUUUGUAUUUUAAAGUGCGAAUGGACAAUCUUAUUUAUGCAAUGACUAUCAUAUGGGAACACUGGUUAAAAAAAGCUAAGUAAGAGGCAUGCAACGCACCGAAAUAACAUAUUUCUAUGGACAAACAACAUAUAGAAAUUGAUGUCUAUACUCACAUGGAUAUCCACUGAGUCUGGUCUUAUGAUGUUGUCAACAAGGUCCUCAGUAAGCAAUAAUGUCGUAGUUACCUGAACCCAAUUAUACAUUAAAAGCAACCUCAGACUGCAAAACUACGUGUUUAUCGAUAUCACAGGCAACAAUCAUAAGCAAGUAUGAGAUCGAAUACGAAAGGCAUAGCUCAGAUUAGACAAAGUAGGAAAUCAUCACAGUUCACAGGCAAAUGAUAUCAGGAGCUCGAAUUUCAUUAGUAAGAGGCAGUUCCAGCCACAUAGUAUGUGACUGAAUAGGCAACAAAUACCAACACUCAUUUAUGGGAACUCAGCCACGUAGCAUAGAAUGAAGAGUGAUAGGCGAGCAGACCCACCUCACAUGACAGUAGAGGGUACGUUGUUUUCUACAAUGAUGAAUUAGGUUGCGAGGUUGUCUUCACAUAGGUACAGUUAAGGUAACCUAAGCAUCAAAUUUACAACGCAAGGCCACACAAAGCAC